rnacentral:rRNA from 1 species
AUGAUAGAGAAACUGCUAGCUAAUCCCUUUGAAGGAGAUGGAACAUUGCAUCCCGAUUUACACCUUUUCUAUGUGGAUGAAGUUUGUGGAUUAUUUAAGCUUGCAGGUAUACCCGAUGAUGUUGUCAAAAGGAAGGUCUUCCCUUUAUCUUUGAAGGGAGAUGCAUUGACAUGGUAUAGGCUAUAUGAUCGCACCAUGCUUGAUACUUCCUGUGUUGGUUCUUAUAUGCUGAAGACUACUGAAUUCAAAUGGGAUUUACUGGAAAGAAUUAAAUGCAACUCUGAAGACUGGGGUUCUGACGAUGGUAAGGAGUCAGGUAUGACACCUAAGUUUGAUUAUGUUAAAUCUUUUAUGGAUACCAAUGCUUUUUGUGGAUUUAGCGCUAAAUAUGGACUUGACUCUAAGAUAAUGGCUUCUUUCUGUGAAUCUUUUGCUGCUCACUUUGAUAACCCUAAGGAGAAGUGGUUUAAAUAUAAUCCUCCCAUUGAAGUAAAAGUAGUUGCACCUGUUACAGUUGAAUAA